rnacentral:rRNA from 1 species
GACGAACGCUGGCGGCGUGCCUAAUACAUGCAAGUCGAACGAACUCUGGUAUUGAUUGGUGCUUGCAUCAUGAUUUACAUUUGAGUGAGUGGCGAACUGGUGAGUAACACGUGGGAAACCUGCCCAGAAGCGGGGGAUAACACCUGGAAACAGAUGCUAAUACCGCAUAACAACUUGGACCGCAUGGUCCGAGCUUGAAAGAUGGCUUCGGCUAUCACUUUUGGAUGGUCCCGCGGCGUAUUAGCUAGAUGGUGGGGUAACGGCUCACCAUGGCAAUGAUACGUAGCCGACCUGAGAGGGUAAUCGGCCACAUUGGGACUGAGACACGGCCCAAACUCCUACGGGAGGCAGCAGUAGGGAAUCUUCCACAAUGGACGAAAGUCUGAUGGAGCAACGCCGCGUGAGUGAAGAAGGGUUUCGGCUCGUAAAACUCUGUUGUUAAAGAAGAACAUAUCUGAGAGUAACUGUUCAGGUAUUGACGGUAUUUAACCAGAAAGCCACGGCUAACUACGUGCCAGCAGCCGCGGUAAUACGUAGGUGGCAAGCGUUGUCCGGAUUUAUUGGGCGUAAAGCGAGCGCAGGCGGUUUUUUAAGUCUGAUGUGAAAGCCUUCGGCUCAACCGAAGAAGUGCAUCGGAAACUGGGAAACUUGAGUGCAGAAGAGGACAGUGGAACUCCAUGUGUAGCGGUGAAAUGCGUAGAUAUAUGGAAGAACACCAGUGGCGAAGGCGGCUGUCUGGUCUGUAACUGACGCUGAGGCUCGAAAGUAUGGGUAGCAAACAGGAUUAGAUACCCUGGUAGUCCAUACCGUAAACGAUGAAUGCUAAGUGUUGGAGGGUUUCCGCCCUUCAGUGCUGCAGCUAACGCAUUAAGCAUUCCGCCUGGGGAGUACGGCCGCGAGGCUGAAACUCAAAGGAAUUGACGGGGGCCCGCACAAGCGGUGGAGCAUGUGGUUUAAUUCGAAGCUACGCGAAGAACCUUACCAGGUCUUGACAUACUAUGCAAAUCUAAGAGAUUAGACGUUCCCUUCGGGGACAUGGAUACAGGUGGUGCAUGGUUGUCGUCAGCUCGUGUCGUGAGAUGUUGGGUUAAGUCCCGCAACGAGCGCAACCCUUAUUAUCAGUUGCCAGCAUUAAGUUGGGCACUCUGGUGAGACUGCCGGUGACAAACCGGAGGAAGGUGGGGAUGACGUCAAAUCAUCAUGCCCCUUAUGACCUGGGCUACACACGUGCUACAAUGGAUGGUACAACGAGUUGCGAACUCGCGAGAGUAAGCUAAUCUCCUAAAGCCAUUCUCAGUUCGGAUUGUAGGCUGCAACUCGCCUACAUGAAGUCGGAAUCGCUAGUAAUCGCGGAUCAGCAUGCCGCGGUGAAUACGUUCCCGGGCCUUGUACACACCGCCCGUCACACCAUGAUAGUUUGUAACACCCAAAGUCGGUGGGGUAACCUUUUAGGAACCAGCCGCCUAAGGUGGGACAGAUGAUUAGGGUG